rnacentral:rRNA from 1 species
UGGGGAAUAUUGCACAAUGGGCGAAAGCCUGAUGCAGCAACGCCGCGUGAGUGAUGAAGGUCUUCGGAUUGUAAAGCUCUGUCUUUUGGGACGAUAAUGACGGUACCAAAGGAGGAAGCCACGGCUAACUACGUGCCAGCAGCCGCGGUAAUACGUAGGUGGCGAGCGUUGUCCGGAUUUACUGGGCGUAAAGGGUGCGUAGGCGGAUGUUUAAGUGAGAUGUGAAAUACCCGGGCUUAACUUGGGUGCUGCAUUUCAAACUGGAUAUCUAGAGUGCAGGAGAGGAGAAUGGAAUUCCUAGUGUAGCGGUGAAAUGCGUAGAGGUUAGGAAGAACACCAGUGGCGAAGGCGAUUCUCUGGACUGUAACUGACGCUGAGGCACGAAAGCGUGGGUAGCAAACAGGAUUAGAUACCCUGGUAGUCCACGCCGUAAACGAUGAGUACUAGGUGUAGGAGGUAUCGACCCCUUCUGUGCCGCAGUAAACACAUUAAGUACUCCGCCUGGGAAGUACGAUCGCAAGAUU